UACAGAGGUCCCAAGCGUUGUUCGGAUUCACUGGGCGUAAAGGGUGCGUAGGCGGUCGGGUAAGUCUGAUGUGAAAUCUCACAGCUUAACUGUGAAACUGCAUUGGAUACUAUCCGGCUAGAGGAAUGGAGGGGAGACUGGAAUACUUGGUGUAGCAGUGAAAUGCGUAGAUAUCAAGUGGAACACCAGUGGCGGAGGCGAGUCUCUGGACAUUUCCUGGCGCUGAGGCACGAAAGCCAGGGGAGCAAACGGG
rnacentral:rRNA from 1 species